CGGCUUUCCAAGUAUUAGAGAAUAAGUGCUUAACGUAAAGAUAUGCUUUUGAAAAUGAAUGACUCAAAUAUAGAGAUGUGGUGGCAAAUAUUUUUUGGCUUAUAAUUUUAUAGUUUUACUGUAAUUUUAAGGUAGUGGUGAAAGUAAACUCCCAUUUUGAAAAGUUUGUAAUUGCUAUAAUGAAAUAUAAAACAAAUUAUUAUUUAUUAGGUGGGAAAGGCACAGACCCUGCCAACAUUAUUGUAGUGUGUUGAUUCCAUUCAUAAUGGAAGGAAAUACAGUUUCAGUUCAUCAUUAGUAAAUGUUGUUUUUUUUUUUUUUUCCACCCAAAUUCAUGAACUCACUGAGUUCUGAUCCCUUAGAGUUUAGGUCUUGGUGAAAGAUCCCUGAACCAGGUAUUCUGUGACGUCCCUUCUGGAUUUGCCAUUUUAGGGCCACAUAAAAGCAAGUCCUCCAGACUGCUCAUGCAUUCCUGGACUAUCAGUGUGCCAAGACUCCCAUUCCCUUCUGAUCACCAGCAUCAACCUUCCCAGGUAUUUAAACACAAUUGUUUUUUAACAUUUUUUUGUUUGUUUUGUAAGUCAGAAUACAGAAAGAGAGGGAGAGGCAAAGAUCUUUCAUUUGCUGGUUCACUCCCAAGAUGGGCACAAUACCCAGGGCUGGGCCAGGCCAAACCCAGGAGCCACAAGCUUCUUCUGGUUCUCCCAUGUGGGUGCAGGGAGCCAAGUACUUGGGUCAUCUCCUGCUGCUUUCCCAGGCACAUUAGCAGGAAGCUGGAUUGGAAGUGGAGCAGCUGGGACAUGAACUGGCUUCCAGAUGGGAUGCCAGCAUCACAGGCAAUGUCUUAACCCACUGCACCACAAUGGUGGAGUUUGUAAUCAAUAGUAAGUCAGGUCUUGUGGCAUCCAAGUCCUGUCUCAAACUGUAGCAGAACUUAACAGCUGUAUGGUGCUCAGUAGUUGCUAAAAGGCCUGUGGAUAGUGGGUUACACCACUGCUUGUAACGCCUACAUCUCAUAUUGGGACACUAGUUUGAGUCCUUGCAGCUCCUCUUCCAAUCCAGUAUUCCUGCUAAUAUGCCCAGAAAGGCAGCAAGAGAUGGUCCAAGGGCUUGGGCCCUAGCUACCCACCUGAGAGACCCGGAUGGAGUUGCUGGCUCCUGGCUUUGGCCUGGCCCAGCCCUGGCUAUUGUGGCCAUUUGGGGAGUGAACCAACAGAUGGAAGAUCUCUCUGUGUCUCUGUCUCUCUUCCUGUGUUGUUUUCAAAUAAAUAAAUAAGUCUUUAAAAACUAAAAAAGGGC
rnacentral:lncRNA from 1 species